UACGAAGGGUGCAAGCGUUACUCGGAAUUACUGGGCGUAAAGCGUGCGUAGGCGGUUCGUUAAGUCUGUCGUGAAAGCCCCGGGCUCAACCUGGGAAUGGCGAUGGAUACUGGCGGGCUAGAGUGCGGUAGAGGGUGGUGGAAUUCCCGGUGUAGCAGUGAAAUGCGUAGAGAUCGGGAGGAACAUCAGUUGCGAAGGCGGCCACCUGGACCAGCACUGACACUGAGGCACGAAAGCGUGGGGAGCAAACAGG
rnacentral:rRNA from 1 species